GUGAACAUACCAUUUGUUGCCUCGGCGGUGCCUGCUUCGGCAGCCCGCCAGAGGACCCAAACCCUUGAUUUUAUACAGUAUCUUCUGAGUAAAUGAUUAAAUAAAUCAAAACUUUCAACAACGGAUCUCUUGGUUCUGGCAUCGAUGAAGAACGCAGCGAAAUGCGAUAAGUAAUGUGAAUUGCAGAAUUCAGUGAAUCAUCGAAUCUUUGAACGCACAUUGCGCCCGCCAGUAUUCUGGCGGGCAUGCCUGUUCGAGCGUCAUUUCAACCCUCAAGCCCCCGGGCUUGGUGUUGGAGAUCGGCGUGCCCUCCGGGGCGCGCCGGCUCCCAAAUAUAGUGGCGGUCUCGCUGUAGCUUCCUCUGCGUAGUAGCACACCUCGCACUGGAAAACAGCGUGGCCACGCCGUUAAACCCCCCACUU
rnacentral:rRNA from 1 species